rnacentral:antisense_RNA from 1 species
CUUGACGGAUCCGAGCAGCAGCGGCCGGUCCUCGGGGCGGCCCUGGCCGUAGGUGGCGAGCAGGGCCUGUGCCUC